rnacentral:rRNA from 1 species
UACGAAGGGGGCUAGCGUUGCUCGGAAUCACUGGGCGUAAAGGGUGCGUAGGCGGGUCUUUAAGUCAGGGGUGAAAUCCUGGAGCUCAACUCCAGAACUGCCUUUGAUACUGAGGAUCUUGAGUUCGGGAGAGGUGAGUGGAACUGCGAGUGUAGAGGUGGAAUUCGUAGAUAUUCGCAAGAACACCAGUGGCGAAGGCGGCUCACUGGCCCGAUACUGACGCUGAGGCACGAAAGCGUGGGGAGCAAACAGGG